UAAAAUCAUGGUCACAGCAUUAGCACAAAGAUGCGAUGCAUUCGCAGUCCAAGUUCCAUGCUCACCUGGCAACAGUCUGAAGAGUACCCGUUCAUGAUGGUGGCAUGGUAGACGUACGGCUGCACAAUCCGACGCCAUAUGGAUCCUGACCACUGUUGCUUCAUCGCCAACUGUUUUCUGUCAGCAGAUACUUGCAUGAUCAUACACUGAAAAUAACCAAAAUGAAAUA
rnacentral:lncRNA from 1 species